UAUUUUUUUCAGUUUUAGAGGAUUCCAUUUUGUGAAUGUACCAUGUUUUGUUCAAGUAGUCCUAUAUUGAUGAAUAGUCUGGUUAUUGUCAAUUUUGCUAUUACAAAAAAAGUACUACAGUUAACAAUGUGCAUUCAUCAUCUUGUUUUUGGCAAGUGUAUAUUUGGUAAAGAUUACUAGAAGUACGAUUGCCGCUCGGAAGGUAAAACAUAUAUAAUUUUGCUAGAUAGUCUAUAAAAUUAUUAAGUCUAAUAUUAAUUUACUUUGUUUCUCCCAUCAGAAAGAAGCCAACAAAACAUAUAACUGUGAAAAUUUAGGUCUCAGUGAAAUCCCUGACACUCUACCAAACACAACAGAAUUUUUGGAAUUCAGCUUUAAUUUUUUGCCUACAAUUCACAAUAGAACCUUCAGCAGACUCAUGAAUCUUACCUUUUUGGAUUUAACUAGGUGCCAGAUUAACUGGAUACAUGAAGACACUUUUCAAAGCCAUCAUCAAUUAAGCACACUUGUG
rnacentral:lncRNA from 10 species